rnacentral:lncRNA from 1 species
UCCAUAUUCAUUCUAUAUCCGAUCAAAUAAAAAUGUAGGUCGGAUCAGAUAGAAUGGAUAAGAAGAAGUGAAUCGGAUUGGAUCGAAUCAGAUAUAUAUAAAUAUUAUAAAAUAAUUAUAAUUAUAAAAAAUAUAUAUAUUAAGAUUUUAUCGAAUCGGAUUUGAAGCGAGACAUACUAUCAAAUCCAUAUUUUUUUUGGAAUUCAUAUCCAUUGUGGAUUCUAAUCAGAUUCGAUAAAAUCUAAAGUUCGAUGGUGUUGAUUUUGGUCGGGAUCG